rnacentral:rRNA from 1 species
AGCGAACGCUGGCGGCAGGCCUAACACAUGCAAGUCGAACGAACCCUUCGGGGUUAGUGGCGGACGGGUGAGUAACACGUGGGAACGUGCCUUUAGGUUCGGCAUAACUCAGGGAAACUUGUGCUUAUACCGAAUGUGCCCUUCGGGGGAAAGAUUUAUCGCCUUUAGAGCGGCCCGCGUCUGAUUAGCUAGUUGGUGAGGUAAUGGCUCACCAAGGCUACGAACAGUAGCUGGUCUGAGAGGAUGACCAGCCACAUUGGGACUGAGACACGGCCCAAACUCCUACGGGAGGCAGCAGUGGGGAAUCUUGCGCAAUGGGCGAAAGCCUGACGCAGCCAUGCCGCGUGGAUGAUGAAGGUCUUAGGAUUGUAAAAUCCUUUCACCGGUGAAGAUAAUGACGGUAGCCGGAGAAGAAGCCCCGGCUAACUUCGUGCCAGCCGCCGCCGUAACAC